rnacentral:rRNA from 1 species
GAAAGUAAAUAAGGGCGUAUGGGGAAUGCCUAGGCUCUCAGAGGCGAAGAAGGACGUGAUAAGCUGCGAAAAUCCACGGGGAUCGGCACAUACGAGUAGAUCCGUGGGUAUCCGAAUGGGGCAACCCGUCUGGCUGAAGGCCAGUCACUCCCGAGCAAUCGGGGGAGCGAACCCGGAGAACUGAAACAUCUAAGUACCCGGAGGAAGAGAAAACAAUAGUGAUUCCGCAAGUAGUGGCGAGCGAACGUGGAACAGCCCAAACCCUGUCAGUUACGGCUGAUGGGGGGUUGUAGGACUGCAUAAUCAAACUAAAACUGAACAAGAACCAUGUGGAAAAAUGGACCGCAGAGGGUGAGAGUCCCGUAUUGGCAAGGUAUUAGGGCGAGGCAGUAUCCUGAGUAGGUCGGGACCGGAGAAAUCCCGAUUGAACCCGCCGGCACCAUCCGGUAAGGCUAAAUACUCCUGAGAGACCGAUAGUGAACCAGUACCGUGAGGGAAAGGUGAAAAGUACCCUGAAUAAGGGGGUGAAAUAGAACCUGAAACCAUACGCUUACAAGCGGUCGGAGUCCCCAUUAAUGGGGAUGACGGCGUGCCUUUUGCAUAAUGAGCCUACGAGUUAUCCUCUUUGGCAAGGUUAAUCACCUAAGGUGAGCAUCCGGAGCGAAAGCGAGUCUGAACAGGGCGCGAUAGUCAGAGGGGGUAGACGCGAAACUCGGUGAUCUACCCAUGUCCAGGUUGAAGUUGCGGUAACACGCCAUGGAGGACCGAACCAGUAUACGUUGAAAAGUAUUUGGAUGAGGUGUGGGUAGGGGUGAAAGGCCAAUCAAACUGAGAAAUAGCUCGUACUCCCCGAAAUGCUUUUAGGAGCAGCGUGGGGUAAUUUCUAGUGGAGGUAGAGCUACCAAUAGGACUAGGGGGAGUCAAAUCCUACCAACUCCUGAUGAACUCCGAAUGCUACUAGAAUAAGCCCCGCAGUGAGGGCUAGGGUGCUAAGGUCCUAGUCCGAGAGGGAAAGAACCCAGACCUACAGCUAAGGUCCCAAAAUAUAUGCUAAGUUGAACUAAGGUGGUCCAGUUGCCCAGACAGCCAGGAUGUUGGCUUGGAAGCAGCCAUUCAUUUAAAGAGUGCGUAACAGCUCACUGGUCGAGCGACAGGGCGUCGAUGAUAAUCGGGCAUCAAGCAUAUUACCGAAGCUAAGGCAACGCCGUAAGGCGUUGGGUAGGGGAGCAUUCUAACCAGCGGCGAAGCCGUUCUGUAAGGGAUGGUGAAGCGGUUAGAAAAGCAAAUGUAGGCAUAAGUAACGAUAAUGAGGGUGAGAAACCCUCACACCAAAAGACUAAGGUUUCCCCGGCAAUGCUAAUCAGCCGGGGGUUAGUCGGGACCUAAGGCGAACCCGCAAGGGGUAGUCGAUGGACAAUCGGUUAAUAUUCCGAUACUACCUUACCAAGUGAAGUGGUGACGGAGGAGUGAACCCGCUGCGUACUGACGGAAUAGUACGUUGAAGGGAGUAGGUAUAUUGUUUGUAGGCAAAUCCGCAGACAAUGCCGAACCUGAUAGUACCACAAUGCUUCGGCAGCGUGGAUAAUGCGGUUAAACAGACUUCCAAGAAAACCCGCUAGCGUUAAUUGAUAAGGUACCCGUACCGUAAACCGACACAGGUAGUCGGGGAGAGAAUCCUAAGGUGCUCGAGUGAGUCGUGGCUAAGGAACUAGGCAAAAUGGCCCUGUAACUUCGGGAGAAGGGGCGCCUAGCCCACCCCCCCUGUAUUCCCCCCCUUCGGGGGGGAUUGGGGGGGUCGGAAGGCCGCAGUGAAAAGAUCCAGGCGACUGUUUAGCAAAAACACAUGGCUUUGCGAAAUCGAAAGAUGAAGUAUAAGGCCUGACACCUGCCCGGUGCUGGAAGGUUAAGGGGGGAUGUUAUCAACCUUAGGGUUGAGAAGCAUUGAACUGAAGCCCCAGUAAACGGCGGCCGUAACUAUAACGGUCCUAAGGUAGCGAAAUUCCUUGUCGGGUAAGUUCCGACCUGCACGAAUGGUGCAACGAUCUGGAUACUGUCUCAGCCACGAGCUCGGUGAAAUUGUAGUAGCGGUGAAGAUGCCGCUUACCCGCAACGGGACGGAAAGACCCCAUGAACCUUUACUAUAGCUUAACAUUGACAUUGUGUACAUGAUGUGUAGGAUAGGUGGGAGACUAUGAAGCUGAGUCGCUAGAUUUGGUGGAGUCGCCCGUGAAAUACCACCCUUUAUUUAUGUGAUGCCUAAUCCCCAUCGGGGAGACAUUGUUUGGUGGGUAGUUUGACUGGGGUGGUCGCCUCCAAAAGCGUAACGGAGGCUUUCAAAGGUACCCUCAGGACGGUUGGUAAUCGUUCGCAGAGUGCAAUAGCAUAAGGGUGCUUGACUGUGAGACUAACAAGUCGAGCAGGUAGGAAACUAGGAUAUAGUGAUCCGGCGGUACCGCAUGGAAGGGCCGUCGCUCAAAGGAUAAAAGGUACUCUGGGGAUAACAGGCUGAUCUCCCCCAAGAGCUCAUAUCGACGGGGAGGUUUGGCACCUCGAUGUCGGCUCGUCACAUCCUGGGGCUGGAGAAGGUCCCAAGGGUUGGGCUGUUCGCCCAUUAAAGUGGCACGCGAGCUGGGUUCAGAACGUCGUGAGACAGUUCGGUCCCUAUCUGUUGUGGGCGCAAGAAGCUUGCGAGGGUCUGUCCUUAGUACGAGAGGACCGGGAUGGACCAACCUCUGGUGUACCGGUUGUGGUGCCAACUGCACCGCCGGGUAGCUAAGUUGGGCAGAGAUAAGCGCUGAAAGCAUCUAAGCGCGAAACUCACCUCAAGAUGAGGCUUCUUUAUAAGGGUCGUCAGAGACGAUGACGUAGAUAGGUUGCAGGUGUAAAGUCAGAGAUGGCAUAGCCGAGCAAUACUAAUUACCCGUAAGCUUUUAUUC